ACAAUGUCUAGCAACAACGAAGACGAAAGCCGGCAAGAAACCGCGUGUUUUCAUCGUAAUGACUAUGGUGAUAAAUGCACGGACAAAGAUACGGGCCCUGACCACUACGACCAGCGAAGCUUUCGUUAAGAAACAUUGGUACAAUGGAUAUUCUUAAAACUCGGUCAACGACGAUGCGCCACAAGCCAUCAUCGAUAUGGACUUCGAGAGACA